rnacentral:lncRNA from 10 species
CUCCUUUGAAAAGAUACCAUUUUAUAACAGUCCUGAAUGAAGAGAACAGAUCAGUCAAGUGAAGAUGUCAGGCAAAAGUAUUCCAGACAGAGAAAAUAGCUCAGACAACGCCCAAGACAGAAGUAUAUUUGGGAUGUUUCAGAAUAAAAGGAAUCUCAUUGGGGUUAAAAAUUAUCCAAGCAGAGAAGAAGGCAGAAGCCAAGAUUAUGUAGGCCUUGUAGACUAUACAAGCAAUUAAGGUUGUAUUCUUUUGGGAUGGACUCCAGUGGAGGAUCUUAAAUGGAAAAGUGACAUUACUACUUUUAUGAACGAGCACUCUAACUUUUCUUCUAGAUGGAGGAUAAAGUAGGGAUACAAGAAUGGAAGCAGUGAAACCAUUUAGAAGGUCAUUUCUUUGGACCACGUAAGAGAUACAUGAUGGCAUGAAUUAGGGUGAUAGCACUGAAGAGAGAGAGGGAGAAGUUGACAAGUCUUAGGUAUCUUUUAGUGACAGAGCCAGCAAGACUUGCUGAUGGAUUUGACAUGAAGGAUGAGAGAGAGAACCCCUAAAUUUUUCACCUGAACAAAUUACGAUGCCAUUUACUGGAAUGGAGAAGAUUGAAGGAGAAACAGGGUUGCUUAAAGUGAUAGGGAAGGUGGGUGAAAUCCAGAUUCUGUUUCACCAUCUUAAAUUUAAGAUGCCUAUUAGAGUCAAGUGAGGAUAUCGAGUAAAUAAAUGUUGGACACAUGAGCUUACAUCUCAGUAAGUCAGAGAUUCAACAGAGGAAUAUUUGAAGGUCUAUAGAGGU